AAAACGGAUACCGUAAGGAGAAAUGGGUGUUGAAAAGUUGCCAAAGUAGCUGCAAUUCAACAGGUUGAAUCCAUAAUAAUAGUCAUCAGAAGUAAAAGCUAUAAUUUGGGAGCCAGGGGUGCUUAAGCAAGCGACUCUAUAUCUUUUUUUAUACAAAGCCUUCUCUUGGCUUGAACAUUCAAACAAGGUAUAGUUGGAUUCAGCUGGUUGGGAUCUAUAAACUUUUAGGCGGCUGAAACCUGGUUGUUCCUCCGCGAAUGGAAAGGCAGAUAAAUUGAGAUAAAAAAGCUGCUUCCAGAGGCAACGGCCGGGAACGUACAAGUCAAUCCGCUGAGCUUCAUAAUCUAUGUGCUUCACCAACAGCUUCAGCGAACGUGGUAUCCUCAGCAGGGUCUGUUUGUUUUCUGAGCAGGAAAGCUGAAACCCAGGAUGAGGAUAGCCGCAGUGGGGUGACUGCUGGCCUUCUAAACGAAAGGGGAAACGGACAGGUGGAUCCUGGUGGUUGCACCGCUGCACCUUGCAGUCGUCUUGGAUUGGCACUGCUUCUGCAACAUUCACAGCUAAGAUAAAGCAGAAUAACGAGUAAAUUAACAUUGUUCUUACUAACUUGUGAGCCCCUGAAGUGAAACGGGCUUUAAAUAGUUUCAUUGACAUAGGUGGUUCAGCCCUUGAGAGUUCCAAUUAUGCACGCAACGCAGCUGCUGCUUUACUAUAUAGAUUUGUCUCGUUUAACAGGGUCUUCAACUCUUCGUCCUCUCUUUGUCCUCUUUUAUGAGUAAAUGUUGGACAUGUUUGAUUGUUAGCAACCCUUUCUAAUCUUGUUACUAAUUUUCUUUUAUUACCGUUAGUUGUAGUAAAAUUUGAGGAAAAAACACUGAACAUGAGAAUGAAUACCGAUUUGCUGUUGUGAUCAUAGUGGGGUUAGCUUGACUGACUUUUGUUUUUCCACCUUCGUUUCACUACAUUUUGUUUGGUAUGACUAAGAAGUUGACUGACUUUUAUGGGUUCUUUUUAAUGUCUAUCGUUUCUUUUCUAAUGUAGGUGGUUUUUUUCUCACUUUCUUUUUUUCUAAUUUAUCUUUUACUUUUAAAAAUGGCAAAACUCGAAUCAUAUGUUUUUAAAUUACUUAUACAAAUUUUUUAAAAGUGGAUACAAGACAAUGAGAUGAUUUUUUCCACAUGAGUAUGAAACAAUUAUAGUCAUUGUUUGCUCUACUCACCCUAUCUCGAAAUAAUCUUUUACCUUUCUUUGUAUAUAAUUAUUAAAAUGAUAAAAAUGUAAUAAUAUAUUAUAGAAAAAAUUCAUAUGUUUUAUACUUAUAUUUUUUAAAAAUUAUGUUUAAAUAUUUACUUGUCUUAAAAAAAGUAAAAUUAUUAAAAUAACUAGAAAUAAAAAUUAAAUUAAAUUAGAGCGAAGCAAGGUGAGAUGGGAUGGGGAUGGAUGCUUCUAAUAUCUAUGCGGUGAUAGUAAUUUUUCAGAUUAUACAUCCAACACAAGUAAAAAUUCAUAUGCAAGGAAUCAAAAUAUCAGUCCACUAAGCCAAUAAUUUAAUUACAACAUUAAGAUAAUUUAAAACGUAACGAUUACAAACUAAUUUUUUAAAUGUUGGUUGCUUAAAACGUAAGGAUCACAUGCACUAUAAACGUAAGGACCACCGUUGAAAGCCAUGCAAAAAUCUACAAUUUUAUAUUUAUAUGUACAUAUAUACAUAUACAUAUACACGUAAACACUAUAAAUCAUGCCAACCAUUAACAAAGCCAUGCAAAUAUUUAUAUUUAUAUUUAUAUAUUUCAUAUAUUUAUACAUUCACAUGCACAUAACUAAAUACGACAUCAUGCAAAUAUAGUUAUGUACAGAAUAUUGAUAUAUUAUCUCAUUAAUUUUAAAAAUAAACAACACCAAAAGACCAAGCUUUACACUACUCACACGACAUAACAUUGGGUUCACGAAUCCUCAAAGCACUACUCCCUCUGGGCUUUCUAUUAACAGCAACCUCCUUUGUCUUUAUUUGGUUGUGGCUUCUAUGCAGAUUAGACGAGAGGCUUCAAUGGAUGAUAUAAAAGAGGUGGUGUUGGUCAGUGUUGGGCAGAGGUGGCCUGAUGUCGGUGCAAGGAGAUCAACGGUUAGGGACGAGGGUGACUGUGGAGCGAUGAGAUGUUGGGGCGACGGAAGAACUCACGAUGGCGGUGAUAGGGCGGACAAUGGUGCAUUGAUGGAGAUGACUCCAAGGCAGCGUGAUGAAAGGGAGGGACGACUUGGGGCAGUUGGCUGACGGUGUGGCGACUAAGAGGAUCGGUGCUUAGUGAUGGAAUGAAGGAGAUAAUGCCUGACGUUGGGGAGUGAAAGGUGGUAAUCAGUCUUUUAUUAGGUUUGAUAGUAGGAAAGUUUGACCAAAUGUAUUCAUUCUUUUUUAGUCAUAACUCUGAAACCUAAUUGAUGAUGAUGAUAGAGCACACACACCUAAGCCACCACUCUCUCGACUAAGUACAGUUUUUUUUGUUGCUUUUGAAAAUUGUUUUUAGAAAAUACCUUUAAAAAAUACUUUUAAAAAAUUUGAAUAUUUGGUAUUGCUAUAAAAAAAUAUGAUAUUAUAAAGUAAUAAAUAUGUGUUUAAAUAAUAUUCAAAUUAGUUAAUAUUAUGAUAUUUUAGCAAAAAAAUAAAAAAUAAUUUAUUAUAACUUAUUGUUAAUAUUUUAAUAUAUAAUAUUAAUUUUAAAUAUUUCUAAGUAAUUAAUAUUAAUUAUUUAUUAACUUUAAUUAGAAUAUAUAAACUAUAUUUAAAUAUUUAAAUAUAAUAAUUAAAUAAUUGUAAUUAGAUAUUGACACAACUGUAUUAUUAUAAAAAUUAUUUUUUAUUUUUAAUUAAUGCUUUUAACACAUUUGUAUUAUUUUAUUUUAAAAUGUAUUUGAAUAUAUAACUCAUAUUAGAUAUUAACAUAACAUAGAAAACAUAAACCUAAAAAAUUAAAAUAUUACAUAUAUUUGGAUUAAAGUUUUAAAAAGGGAUAAUAUUUAUAUACCAAAUAUAAAUACUAAAAAUUUUACAAUAGCAUUUACAAUUUAAAGUGAAUUCAUUAAACUAGAAGCUAUAGCAUCUCUUGUUAAUUCCAUUUCAAAACCACUUGAAUUGUUUGAUUCACUGUCAUCAUCACUAUCUUCGUCGUCGUCGUCAUCAUCAUCACUUUAUCGACCAUGCGCAUUUUCUGAAUCAAUAAUUGUAAUAGCCCGAUUUUAGGCUUAGUCGGAACAGUGGUUUCGGGACCACAAAUCCGACGAAAAAAAAUGUAAUGGCUUGAAUUUUCAGAGGUGUCGGAACGGUGAUUCGAGAUCACUAAAUUCGACAAAUGGGUAGAAAAUAUUAUUAAUUUAGUAAGUAUAAGUUAAAUAUGAAGUUAGGAAAAUUUUUGAAAUAGUGAAUAGUGCACUAGAAAUAAAUAUUAAAAUAAUUAGAAUCGAAAUGAGGUAUCAAGACCUCGGGGAUUUUAAACUGAGCCAUAAAUAUUUUUAUAAAUAUUUAUGGAGUGUUAAAAAGUUAGUAUUAUAGUUUCGUUAAGAAAUUUUAAAGUUCUGAUAAUUAAUUGAACAAAAAGGACUAAAUUGUAACAAAUGCAAAAUUUUGGGAAAUGAUUAAAUAGCUUAAAUGAUAAAAGGAAGAGGGCUUAAAAGGCAAAUAGACCCAAGGUCUAUUUGGGCUGGACGGCAGAGGCAUGAAAUCAGCAAGAAAGAAAGGAGAAUUAAGGGAAAAAUUGGAAAAUUGCAAAAUUUGCUUAAUAAAGUUAGGACCCAAGUGGAAUUAUCUAGAUUUCUCUUCAUUUUUUUGAAUUCUCAUCAGCUAAAACACCAUGGAAGGGCUUCUUCAAGCUGGUUCUUCAUAUUUUUAUUACAAGUAAGUUCAAUUCUUGACUAUUUCUUGAAAUUUUUGUAUUUUUAUGACUUUUACAACUAGGCCCACUUGUUAAAUCCAUUAUUUUUUGAUUUUAUGAAAGAAGUUGAAAGUUGAUAUGAAUAUGUGCUGGAAGUAUAUGAUGAUUUAGCAUGAAAUUAGAGCUUUAAAUUGUUCAUAUGCUGAUUUUAUUGAAAGAAUUGAAUAGAAAGUGAAUGUUUGGGACCUAAUAGUAAAAGAGUUUGAAGAUAGAGUUAUAUGUGGAAAUUCUGAAUUUCAAUAGUUGUGUAACAACUUAUAAUGUCUAGUAAAGUACUAAUUGAGAAAAUUAGAUUAAUUGAGGGGUUAAUUGAGAAAGGACCGAAUUGUAUAAACUGUGAAAUUUGGGGCAAAAUGGAAAUCAACAUUUUGCACUAAAGCAGUUUUGGACAGCAGCAGUAGUGUAACUUUGAAAAAUCACCAAAAAUUGUAGAGAUUGAAUUAGAGGAUGAAUAAAAUAUGAAACUAAAGCUUAUUGAGUCUAGUUUCUUAUAAAAGAAAUGAUGUGAGCAAUGGAAUUGUAAAUCAUGAGAUAUAAUAGAUUUUGUGAGACAAGGUCAGAAUGAAUUCGGGUUCCCCUGUUCUGACUUUGGAAAAUCAUUAAAAAUUGUACAAAAAUGAUUAUGAGUUUUAGUUUAUAUGGUUAGAAUCCUUAAUGAGUCUAUUUUUAGAAGAAACAAGCUAAAACAUCAUCCGAAUUCUAUACAAUGAGAUAAUUAAUUUUUAGUGAAGAGUGGUUGGAACUGUCAGACAGCAAAACAGGGGAAACUUUAAAGAAUAAACUGUACUAUUUGGCUGAACCAAAAAUUAUGAAAAUUUUAUGGUAUUAAGAUAUGUGAGUCUAGUUUCAGGGAAAAUUAACGGAUCUUAAUUUGGAGCUCUGUAGCUCCGGAUAAAAAUAAUUUAGUGACUCUGACUCGGAUAAAUAGCUUUGAAUAUACAUGUUAGUGAAUAUUGAAAUUAUGGUUAAUGUUGUUUAAGUGUGUUAUACACAUUAAGGAUGUGGAAUGGAGAGGAGGAGGAGGAAAAUUGGGAAAUAUAUGAAUGAUUCGUGUAUAAAUGGUCAUAUGUUUGAUUAUAACUCAUAAACGAUGAAAUAUGAAUGAUGCUUAUUUUUGUGCAUUAUUGGUCAUGGUUUAAGCUCAUGUGUGAAAAUAAAGUUUCAUAGUAUGUGUGUAUGGUAUAUUCAGUAUAUGAUUUGGCAUGAAAUAAUACCAUGAAUGGUUUAUGAAUUAACACAUGUUGGUAAGCCUGAUAUAUGAAUAAAUGAUCAAAUUGAGCGGAACGCCGGAUUUGAGUACUUCUGAUCAAGUGACAAAGUGAUAAGUGGUAGCUUUAGCUACACUUAUCUGAUCAAGUGACAAGUGGAAAGUGAUAAGUAAUAGCUUCGGCUAUACUUAUCUGAUCAAGUGACAAAGUGAUAAGUGAUAGCUUCGGCUACACUUAUCUGAUCAAGUGACAAGUGAAAAGUGAUAAGUGAUAGCUUCGGCUAUACUUAUCUGAUCAAGAGACAAAGUGAUAAGUGAUAGCUUUAGCUACACUUAUCUGAUCAAGAGACAAAGUGAUAAGUGGCUACACUUAUCUGAUCAAGAAACAAAGUGAUAAGUGGCUACACUUAUCUGAUCAAGAAACAAAGUGAUAGGUGGCUACACUUAUCUGAUCAGGGACAAGUGAUAAGUGAUCAUACGUAAGACCAUAGUUAUACUAUGGCAAAGUGAAAGUGAAGUACUCAAUUUUCCGUGACCGUUCCGUAAUUUGAUUAAGGAUGGUAAGUGACAAAUGGGCCCAAAAGAAUUAAAGUAAAUGGAUAAGUGGUAGUGUAUUUAUAUCAGGACGAUGUUGUUAUUCAAACUAAAGUGAUAUUUUCAUUGCUAAAUUGAGAAUUUCAUAAAUGUGUUAUUGAAUGGUAUAAUCAAUAAACAUUGAGUUAAAUGGUAAAUACGUAUUAGUUUUGAAUUUGAUGUCAUUGAAUUGUACGUGAAUUAAAUGGAAAUUGCUAGUGAUAUGAUUUAAAUUAUGAGCAUGAGAAAUUGCGAAUUGAAUGAAAUGGAAAUGAAGCAUUAAAUUGCAUGAGUAUGUAUCGGGUCUCGCAGGCCCUAAUUAUUAUGAAUAUAUUAUUUUGAGGAUAUACUGUGAAAAGUUAUAGAAACAUGUUAAUUAUUUUGAAAGUUUUAAUUUUGAUGAAAUUUUAUAACUCGGUUAAAUACGUUUACAAGUGUAUGUGUUUUGGUAAUGCCUCGUACCCUAUUCCGGUGUUGGAUACGGGUAAGGGGUGUUACAAUAAUAUUCUCAUAUGCCCAGUUAAUAUCUUCGUAUUCCAUAAAAUCUGCAUCAUUUCGACCGAAAUGUUUUCAGAUAAAAUUGUGUAUUGUCAUUGUAGCAACAACGAUCAUGGUUUGCUUUUCAAAAAUAUAACUUGGCAUAUCCCUUAAAAUGGCCCUUUUUUUCAAAACACCAAAAGUUCGUUCAAUCACACUACGUAAUGAUGAAUGUGAAUGAUUGAAUAUCUCUUCUAUACCAGAUAUCGGUCUACCUCUACGAAAGUCAAGUAAAUGAUAUCGUAUGGGUUUUGCUUAUGAUUGCGGCACUCUUUAAUAUGUACCAUUUGCAAUACAUUUAAGUAAAAAUAUUAUUAUAUAUAAAGUCCUAAGGCAGUCAUUAAGAAAACCCAUGUAGUUACUUCAAACAUGUGGUAUUAUUGAUUAUCAAAGUAAUGGCAUUAAAGGCAUGACUUCCCCACUCCACCGGUCCAGGUGCAACUGCAUUAAUGGAGUAAAAAAGACACAUACCUAGCUACAAAACUCAAUUAUGGCUUGUUUCCAAACCUUACCAAACCAUGAACUCAACAUGAUACUUCAAACAAUUGAAUCACCAAACUAAAAGAGAAAAAAAGAAUUUCAAAAACUAGAAUAAAUUGCUUGGAUGUUUAAGUUCAAACCUGGGAAUAUAUAUAUAGAAACGCAAAAGUUGAAGCAAAAAGAAAAGAAAAAAGCCAGUGUAACCUCCAGUAAGAAGCUCAAAAGAAUGGAAAUGCUAGCAUUUACCAAUCAAAAUUAAUAUAUAGUAAAGUAAUUAAGUUGAAAAAAAGAACUUUGCAAAUGAAGAAGAGACAGAAAACAACACACAUAAAAAAUGGACAAAGACUGAUGAUGUUUGUAAACCAUCCAGAAAAUAGAAUAAGAAGAGAACAAAUCCAUCAACCACCUCUCUGAAAACUAUCCAUUUGCCAGCAGAGGAACAAAAAACCAGCACCAGCAGAGGAACAAAGAACGAGCGAUGAGAGAAGAGAUGAGAGCAAAGAACCAGUGUUGUAUGUGUGGUUAAAAAAGUAAAAGACCAGCCCAAAAGUACUUUUCGGCUGAAAAAGCUAAAAAAUUCUACUUUUUCAUCUGCCCAAAAGCACUUCAAAUAAGUUCGAAAUUUGCUACCAAAUGAAGUCUGUUCUGCAUUACUUUUUAGAGAAAAGCACUUUUCCUUUACUGAAUUGAAUUAAUGGAAAAAAACGACAAAGAGUGUAAUUUUUACUUUACUUUACUGAAAGUGAAUGGAUAAAUAUGGAAUUAGAGAAUAAAGAAAAUUGGGGAAAAAAGAAGAAGAAGAAGGAGAAGUGUUGUCAUGAUUAUGACCCUUGGAUAUUAUGGAAGAAGUGAAGAAAUAAUUGCAAUUGGAUAUUAAUUAUAAUGUUGGGAUUUUUAUUAAUGUUUUAAUUAUAUUAAUUGUUACAUGGCCGUGUGGCUCAAAUGGACGUGUGGAAGAGGUCAGUUUAUGUGGCUCCCGUACUUGUUUUGAUUUUCAAUUCUUGAUAAGUGUCAAAAGUAACAUAUUUUAAUUUCGUUCUUAAUACGUUUUUAGAUGAUUAAUCAAUGCAAAAUGGUGAAUUUUAUACUCAUAAUCCUUUAAAUUUAUAUUUCUAUACUUAUAAGAGCAUUUUGAGAGAAAAAUGAGUGAAAACGGAGCGAAAAUCAGACAAUUGGAGUAGAUUUUAGGAGCCACAUGGGUUGGACACACGAUCAUGUGAGCCAUACGAGCUGCCAGACAGCCAUGUGCCAGACCGUGUGGAUUUCGCGUUUCACACUCCAAAUAUGUGGAAUCACGCAGUUUUUAGGUUUUUCGGGCAUUCUUAGACCUAUAUAUACCAAAUAUAAGGAGAGAAGUAAGAGCCGUCAGAGAAUAUUGAAGAAAACAACUCAGAAGACACCAUUGAAGCCAACUUUGAAACAGAUUUCCACUAAGAUUGAAGAUCUCCUUUUGAUUUAUUUGAAGUUUAUUAUGAGUUUCUUUAUUUUUUUGUGGUUAUAUUGUCUUUGAGAUGUUUUUAUUCGCGAUUAUGAACUAAUUUUCUAAUACCUAGGGGAGAUGAACCUUAUGAUGAAUUUUGUCUUUUGAUUUCUGUUUUAUGCAAUGAAUAAUUGAAUCUUAUUCUUAGUUAUGUGUGCUUAAUUCUUGAUUUAAUAUUUUCGAAUUAUUAAUUCAUGUUUGAUGUGCUUAAUUCAAAGUAGAUCUAGCAUAAUUGAGUGGAGUUGCAUGUAAUCUUAGAAAUAGGACGACAUAAAUCUACCGAAUUAGGUAUUCAUAAAUGAGAACUCAAUCAUAUCCAUCGGCACAAAACCCAACCAGGCGAGUCACAUUUACAUAGUGGAUUCUACCCAUCGAACUCACCUCAUUGAUGAACUCUUAAUAGUUAACUAAAGUUUGCUUUCUACUUUUUUUUUAUUUCUAUUUUUAAGAAAAUGUUAUUUUAUUAAUUCAAUUAUCAAAAUUAAUAUUAUUUUAUUUAAAUUAGAUUAAUCCUCAUUUAAUUAUUACAAGUAUAUUAUUUUAGAAUUAUAAAAAUUAUUAUUUAAUAAAUUAAACAAAUAAACAUUUAAAAUCACAUACAUUACAUUAAAAACUAAUAUAUCUAAAUAUAUAUUUUACCACUUAUUUUAAUCUUGUUAUUUUUAAUUUCAUCAAAAUUAUAUAUCACUCGAGCCACUGCGACUGCUGACUGGCGAUUAUUGCCUGCAUAAUUUGAUGAAAGGUUCUGAAUUAAUACAUCCAAGACUUUUAUGAGCAUCGCCAUUGACUGACCGACGACUUGUAUGAAUGAAUUUUCCACAUUAGCUUUAUUAUGGACUGAUUUUUCAAAGAAAGAAUUUUCCACUUGCUCUCAGUUGCAGCCAUAAAAUAAAUGAAUGAUUGGCAUUUUACAUUAAAGAACAUCCCAUUGUUUAUUUCUUCAUCGGAGCUCCACCGGAACCUGAUGAUGUUAAGACCCAGACUUGUCUUGUUUAGCGUCUUUGCCCUUACUUUAUCUCUAUCCCCAGAUGUUUCCGAUGGUAGAGCAGGCAAAAGCAACCACUGCAACCCAUCUUUGUGUGGACACGUUAAUAUCAGUCACCCUUUCCGACUAAAGGGUCAGCCUCGAGAAUGUGGUGACCGUAGGUUUGAAUUAGAGUGCAAGGGAAACCGCACCAGUUUUCCCACGAAAUACGGAAACUUUUAUGUCCUAAACAUCUCUUAUGUUUACGGAACGCUUCGACUUGUGGAUGUGAGUCUGGUCGAUGAAAACUGCUCAAUUCCUCGCAGUUCCAUUGUCGAUUCUUCAGACAGCUAUCUAGAAUACAUAAUAGCGAAUGGAGCAGACACCAUGUAUCUGGUAAAUUGCACGACAAAGAUGAAGUCUUCUUCAGUUUAUGUCGAUGCUUCUCGUUGCCCAACCAAUAGCUCUUCUUCUCCUUGGACCUACUUCUACUUUCCGGUCUUGUUUUCAAAUAUAUCCGAUUUCCAUCAUUCGUGCAGAUUUAUAUGUUAACAUUAAUGGGAGACAACAUUAAUGGCAAACAAUACAAAGUGGUGCAAGUUUAGCACCCUAAAGUUGACUUUGAAAAAAGUGGCAUGGGAUAAUUUUUUUUGGUCAUUGAGAUAAUGGGCUAUUUAUUGUUUGGUCCUUAAACCUCAACUAUAAAUAGGCCUUCUCAUUUCUCAUUUCAAUUCAUCCCAACCAAUCUUUCUCUCUUAGUUUUAUCUCUUCUCCCAUUUGAGAAUUCUUAAGGAAUUCUAUUUGUUUGUAAUAUUUUGGAGAUAGUAAAGUUAUCAUCUGGUUUUAGUAGCCCGAGGACGUAGGUAUAAUUUACUGAACCUCGUUAAAACUCUUGUAUUCUUUUUGUCCUAUUUUUCUUUCAAUAUUUGAGGGUAUAAUAGUAGUAUUUAAUUGUGCUAUUAAAUUACGUUAGAAGGAAUAUUCUGACUAAGGAAAGACUUGGUAUUUAAGAGAUCCUUGUGAUCCACCUCUCUUCCCUGGGAAUUGAACUUUGUGUGAUUUUUAGUACAAUAAUUUACACGCUUCCGACCCUAUUGGAACUACAAGUGGUAUCAAGAGCCGAAGGUUAAUCGUAGUAUGCUCUGUGGUUGCAGUUUAAACUGAUCUUCCACAUCAGAAAAGAUUUCUUUAGGUAUAUUGAAAGAUUAUGGAGAAAACAGUCGGUGUAGGAGCUUCAACAUCGUCCAUAUGGACAAGACCGACAAUUGCAAAUGCAAGAUUGGCCGUGGAGAUCUUUGAUGGCACGGGCCAUUUUGGUAUGUGGCGAAGUGAGGUUCUAGAUGCCCUUUUUCAGCAGGGUCUAGACAUUGCCAUUGAUGAAGAGAAACCAGAUGAUGUACAGGAGAAAGAUUGGAAGGCGAUCAAUCGGUUGGCAUGUGGCACAAUUCGAUCAUGCUUUUCUCGAGAGCAGAGGUAUGCUUUUUCAAAGGAGACUUCUGCAAAUAAGUUGUGGGUGGCACUUGAAGAAAAAUUUUUGAAGAAAAACAGUCAAAAUAAGCUCCACUUGAAGAAAAGACUGUUUCGCUUCACAUACGUCCCAAGUACCACAAUGAAUGAUCACAUCACCAAAUUUAAUCAGUUAGUCACUGAUUUGCAGAAUAUGGAUGAGACAUUCAAAGAUGAAGAUUUGGCUUUGAUGCUAUUGGGGUCACUUCCUGAGGAGUUUGAGUUCCUAGAAACUACUCUACUUCAUGGCAGGAGUGAUAUAUCUCUGAGCGAAGUCUGUGCGGCCUUAUACAGUUAUGAACAGAGAAAGAAGGACAAACAGAAAAACUCAAUCAGAGAUACAGAAGCUUUAGUAGUCCGAGGUCGUUCAUACACUCGGAAGAAAACUCAAAAGGGGAGAUCAAAGUCAAAGUCCAGACUCGGGAAAAAUGAAUGUGCUUUUUGUCAUGAGAAAGGCCACUGGAAGAAAAAUUGUCCAAAGCUGAAGAAUAAGGGAAAAGCUGCUGUAGAUGCUUGUGUUGCUAAGCAUGAUACUAGUGACUCUGAACUAUCACUGGUUGCAUCAUCAUCGUCGUUCCAUUCAGAUGAGUGGAUAUUGGAUUCGGGUUGUACCUAUCAUAUGUCCCCUAACCGGGAGUGGUUCUCUGAUUUAGUAGAACUAAAUGGAGGAGUUGUUUAUAUGGGCAAUGACAAUGCCUAUAAAACUGUUGGGAUAGGUUCAAUCCAAUUAAAGAAUAAAGAUGGAUCAACCAGAGUUCUGACUGAUGUUCGGUACGUGCCCAGUUUGAAGAAAAAUCUCAUCUCAUUGGGAGCCUUGGAAUCCAAUGGUUCAGUUGUUACUAUGAGAGAUGGGAUUUUGAAAGUGACAUCUGGCGCACUUGUGAUAUUGAAGGGCAUCAGAAAAAAUAACUUGUAUUACUACCAAGGUAGUACAGUGAUUGGAGCAGUCGCUGCAGCUUCCGGCAACAAAGAAUUGGACUCAAUACAGUUGUGGCAUAUGAAGUUGGGACAUGCCAGCGAAAAAUCCUUACAAAUUCUGGCAAAGCAAGGAUUGUUGAAAGGUGCAAAGGCUUGCAAAUUAAAAUUUUGCGAGCAUUGUGUUCUGGGAAAGCAAAAGAGAGUGAAAUUCGGUACUGCUAUCCAUAAUACAAAAGGUAUUUUGGAAUAUGUUCACUCAGAUGUGUGGGGGCCUUCCAAGACACCUUCAUUGGGAGGAAAACACUACUUUGUUACUUUUGUUGAUGACUUUUCCAGAAGAGUUUGGGUGUAUACCAUGAGAACUAAGGAUGAAGUGCUUAGAGUUUUUCUUAAAUGGAAAACUAUGAUCGAAAACCAGACUGGCAAGAAAAUCAAGCGGCUUAGGACGGACAAUGGAGGGGAAUAUAAAAGUGAUCCGUUCUUCGAUGUGUGCCAAGAGUAUGGUAUUGUUCGACACUUCACAGUUAGGGAUACACCACAGCAGAAUGGAUUGGCAGAGCGUAUGAAUCGAACAUUGCUGGAGAAAGUUCGAUGUAUGUUGUCCAAUGCUGGGUUGGGCAAGCAAUUUUGGGCUGAGGCUGUGACAUACGCUGGCCAUCUUGUUAAUCGUUUGCCAUCAUCUGCAUUAGAAAGAAAAACUCCUAUGGAGGUAUGGUCUGGAAAACCGGCUACAGAUUAUGAUUCCUUACAUGUGUUUGGAACCACUGCAUAUUACCAUGUGAAGGAGUCAAAGUUAGAUCCGAGGGCAAAGAAAGCUCUCUUUAUGGGAAUCACUUCUGGAGUGAAGGGAUUUCGUCUUUGGUGCUUAAGCACAAAGAAAAUGAUCUGUAGCAGAGAUGUUACCUUUGAUGAAUCUGCCACAUUGAAAAAGGUAGCAGAUAAAGAUAUUCAGACGAGCAAUACUCCACAGCAGGUGGAGUGUACUCCAAAACAGGUGGAGUUUGAGCAGAUGGGGAUUUGCCCAGUUAAUAAGUCUAAUUCUCCAGCCACAAUGGAGGAAUUAGAGGUUGAAGAGGUUCUGACCCAAGAACCACUAAGUACACCAGAACCAGUUGCAGUUGCAAGGCCACGGAGAGAAAUUCGUAAACCUGCUCGAUUUACUGAUAUGGUGGCCUACGCCCUUCCUGUUGUUGAUGAUAUUCCUAUCACUUAUCAAGAAGCAAUGCAAAGCUUAGAAAGUGAUAAAUGGAAAAGCGCCAUGGAUGAAGAAAUACAGUCUCUCCGGAAGAACAAUACUUGGGAGUUGGCGCAAUUACCGAAAGGUAAAAGGGAAAUCGGAUGCAAGUGGGUAUUUGCAAAGAAAGAUGGAUCUCCUAGCAAGAAGGAUAUUCGCUACAAGGCAAGAUUGGUAGCUAAAGGCUACGCUCAGAAGGAGGGAAUUGACUACAAUGAUGUAUUUUCCCCUGUUGUGAAGCAUUCCUCCAUUAGAAUUUUGUUGGCCUUGGUAGCACAGUUAAAUUUGGAGCUAGCUCAACUUGAUGUUAAGACGGCUUUUUUGCAUGGUGAGUUAGAAGAGGAGAUCUAUAUGACUCAGCCCGAAGGAUACACAGAUGCUGGUAGUAGAAAUUGGGUUUGUAAGCUGAACAAAUCGCUAUAUGGAUUGAAGCAAUCCCCGAGGCAGUGGUACAAGCGAUUUGAUAGCUUUAUGAGAAGGCAGAAGUACACAAGAAGCAAAUAUGACAAUUGUGUAUAUUUGCAGAAGCUGCAUGACGGAUCUUUCAUUUAUCUACUCUUGUAUGUUGAUGAUAUGUUAAUCGCUUCGAAGAGCCAAAAUGAGAUAGAUAAGCUGAAGGCUCAGUUGAAUCAAGAGUUCGAGAUGAAAGAUCUAGGUGAGGCCAAGAAGAUUCUCGGCAUGGAGAUAAGUAGAGAUAGACCGAGAGGCAAGCUCUGUUUAAAUCAGAAGCAAUAUCUGAAAAAAGUAUUACAAUGUUUUGGUGUAAAUGAAAACACAAAACAUGUAAGUACCCCACUUGCUUUUCAUUUGAAACUUAGUGCUCAAUUAUCUCCGAAGACUGAAGAUGAAAGAGAAUAUAUGGCGAAAGUCCCAUAUGCUAAUGCAGUUGGGAGUUUGAUGUAUGCGAUGGUGUGUACGAGGCCUGACAUUUCACAAGCUGUUGGAGUUGUGAGCAGGUAUAUGCAUGAUCCUGGAAAAGGACAUUGGCAAGCUGUGAAAUGGAUUCUACGGUAUCUUCGAAAAACCGUAGAUGUUGGUUUAAUUUUUGAACAGGAUGAAGCACUUGGUCAGUUUGUAGUUGGAUAUGUUGAUUCCGACUUUGCUGGUGAUUUAGAUAAACGUCGUUCAACUACGGGGUAUCUGUUUACUCUUGCGAAAGCCCCAGUGAGUUGGAAGUCUACCUUACAGUCUACAGUAGCUGUGUCUACUACAGAGGCAGAAUAUAUGGCAGUUACAGAAGCUGUUAAGGAGGCUAUUUGGCUUAAUGGAUUAUUGAAAGACUUGGGAGUUGUUCAAAGUCACAUUAGUCUAUAUUGUGACAGUCAGAGUGCUAUUCAUUUAGCGAAAAAUCAAGUCUAUCAUUCAAGAACCAAGCAUAUCGACGUAAGAUAUCACUUUGUGCGGGAAGUCUUUGAAAAAGGAAAAAUUCUACUUCAGAAGAUUCCGACAGCAGAUAAUCCCGCAGAUAUGAUGACCAAGGUGGUAACAACAAUCAAGUUUAAUCAUUGUUUGAACUUGAUUAACAUCUUGAGAAUUUGAGCACCUUUAGGUGUAUGGCGCUCGAGAGCGCAUUUGGAGGCACUACAAAAGAUAGCUUUAUCGAAUUUGGGGAGUUGAAGGAAGUGUGUGAAUAUGUGAUUAUCCUAAUCAAAUCUUCAAGGUGGAGAUUGUUAACAUUAAUGGGAGACAACAUUAAUGGCAAACAAUACAAAGUGGUGCAAGUUUAGCACCCUAAAGUUGACUUUGAAAAAAGUGGCAUGGGAUAAUUUUUUUUGGUCCUUGAGAUAAUGGGCUAUUUAUUGUUUGGUCCUUAAACCUCAACUAUAAAUAGGCCUUCUCAUUUCUCAUUUCAAUUCAUCCCAACCAAUCUUUCUCUCUUAGUUUUCUCUCUUCUCCCAUUUGAGAAUUCUUAAGGAAUUCUGUUUGUUUGUAAUAUUUUGGAGAUAGUAAAGUUAUCAUCUGGUUUUAGUAGCCCGAGGACGUAGGUAUAAUUUAUUGAACCUCGUUAAAACUCUUGUGUUCUUUUUGUCCUAUUUUUCUUUCAAUAUUUGAGGGUAUAAUAGUAGUAUUUAAUUGUGCUAUUAAAUUACAUUAGAAGGAAUAUUCUGACUAAGGAAAGACUUGGUAUUUAAGAGAUCCUUGUGAUCCACCUCUCUUCCCUGGGAAUUGAACUUUGUGUGAUUUUUUAGUAUAAUAAUUUACACGCUUCCGACCCUAUUGGAACUACAUUAUAGCCCAGUUUCCUGUCAUGCUUUCCAAUAUUAGUGGCUUAUCCCCUUCGUACAUUUACAAAAACCUGUUGGAAGGCGUCGACGUGUACUGGUAUAUACCCUAUACUGAUUGGACUUUAAACCCGAUUCUCAAAGUGUAAGAGACUUCGAUCUUUAGAUUCUUUCAAUCUAUAACUUUUCAAGGUCUUAUUUAUUGAUUGGUUGCUUUUGUUUUUCCUUGGGGGGGUUAUUCUAGCCUGCUACAUUUGGUGAACUAUCUGCUACUUCCAAUUACAGCAUACAUAGUAAGCAAUGUGGCCUUUCUUCUACCGGGAAUCUUCGGCCAUUAUCCUUUUGGGAAAGGUUAAUCUUUCAGAUUUCAUAAGUAUCUUUAUUUAUUGGAUUUGCCCUUGAAUUGUAUUCGAGUUAGUAAUUUUAUUGUUCAAUUUGCGUUUUAAACAGGAGCCACCUUCGUUUGUCUUGCAGUAUCAGGUAAAUCUCUUUCCCUUCCCACUUUUUAUGUUAUCUUUAUAAAAUAAUCAUGAAUGCUGAUUUAUCCUUGUGUAUGCACCUUGAUGGGCAAGCAGGCAUAUUGUUAGCGAGAACUUUGUUGGGGAUAUUCUGCCUCAUUACACUUGUCAUACACAAACUAAAGAGGAGGCAUUUAUCGAUGGAUGAUAAUAUUGAAAACUUUCUUCAAAGUCAAAGUAAUUUAAUACCAAUUCGAUAUUCGUAUUCUGAAAUAAAAAGAAUUACGGAAGGUUUUAAAGUUAAAUUAGGUCAAGGAGGUUAUGGUUCUGUGUUUAAAGGAAAGCUUCGCAGUGGUCGGCUAGUGGCAAUAAAAAUGUUGGAUAAAUCCAAAGCAAAUGGGGAAGAUUUCAUCAAUGAAGUUGCUACUAUUGGAAGGAUUCAUCAUAUUAAUGUAGUGCAACUUAUUGGGUUUUGUGUAGAGAGAUCAAAACAAGCUCUUGUAUAUGAUUUUAUGGUGAAUGGGUCUUUGGAUAAAAUUAUAUUUUCAAAGGAGAAUUGCACUUUAAGUUGGCAAAAAUUAUUUGAGGUUGCAUUAGGUGUGGCUCGAGGGAUUGAGUACUUGCACAGGGGUUGUCAAAUGCAAAUUUUGCAUUUUGAUAUCAAGCCGCACAACAUUCUUUUGGAUGAAAACUUUAUCCCUAAAGUUUCUGAUUUUGGUCUUGCAAAAUUAUAUUCAGUGGAUGACAGUAUUAUUUCUCUCACAGCGGCUCGUGGUACAUUAGGAUACAUUACUCCUGAAUUAUUUUACAGAAAUAUUGGAGGCAUCUCAUAUAAAGCCGAUAUUUAUAGUUUUGGAAUGUUAUUAAUGGAAAUGGUGGGAAGAAGAAAGAAUUUGAAUGCAUUUGAUGAUCAUUCUAGUCAAAUCUAUUUUCCGUCAUGGAUUUAUGAUCGAUUUGAACAAAGAGAGAACAUAGAAUUAGGGGAUGUAACAGAAGUUGAUGACAAAAUAGCAAGGAAGAUGAUCAUGGUUGCAUUUUGGUGUAUACAAAUGAAUCCCACUAAUCGUCCUUCAAUGAGCAAAGUUUUGGAAAUGCUCGAAAAUGAACUUGAUCACCUUGAAUUGCCGUCCAGACCUUCACUAUUUUCUCUCGAAAAGUCAAUUGAAGAUCAUGUUAGUAAGAAUGUAUCGGAGGAACCAUCAACGUCAAAAAGUUGUGUGGACCUCUAAGUAUAAUGUUUGAUUUUAUUCGGUCCUUUUAUACAUAUAGUUCUGCAACUGUAAGCUUUUAAUUUGUAGCUUUUCAUGUUCAGUUGUAUAAUAUCCAGCAUCAUGUAAUACAACUAUUAAUGGAUGUGUGUUUUAGACUUUAGCUCCUUAGCUUCAUGUUUCAAUUAUUAAAAAUGUCUCCUUGUCACCGUAUGACGAGUUAAUAUCAAAUUUCGUUUACAAUUAUUUAGUAUAUAAGUAACUCUUAACAUUGCGUGAUCUCAUGAGAAGGUUUUUACUCUCGUAUCGUAAUAUAUAAUCAUGCUGAUAAGAGUAUUUUGUAAUAAUUAUGAGUGUGGUGUGACAGUUGCUCACUUUAUUUUUUAAUCAUGUAGCUCAUAGAAAUGGAACACCUUCCAAUGAUGAAUACCUUAAUUUUGACAAUUAAACAACAGUUAAGAUAGAAUCUUAUCAUUUAUUAGUAGAAUUUAUAUACCAACAGCCAUGCAGCGUUUCAUUUAUGAGUUCAAAUAAAAUCAAGUUUCAACUGAUUCUAGUACUACUAACAAUGAGGCUCGAGAUUGUUCUUAUUCCAUUUCUGAAAUAGUGGGUAGAUCUCUGUUAACCGGCUUCCUAGGUAUGGUGGCACCUAUCGUCUUCGGUGGAUCUAUCGACGCAAAAAGAUUUGGUGGCAUUGUAAGAACGUCAAGCUCUCCCUCUAACAUCUGAACCACCACUUUCAUCGAAGGACGAUCAACGGGAUACCACUGAAUGCACCAAAGUCCAACGAUCAUGAGUUUCUUUGCUAUCCCUGUUUGUGCAUCAUCUUCAAUUCGAAUCCCGAACUCCUCUCCUUUAUCCAAACGAUCAUAUGCCCAUUCUGGGAAAUACACUUGGCUUGUAUUCUCGACCGUAACAUCUAUGUUCUUUCUCCCCCCAACCAUUUCAAGCAACAGCAUUCCAAAACUAUAAACAUCAGACUUAUAUGACACAUUUCCGAAGUUGCGAGACAGUACCUCAGGUGCAAUAUAGCCCAUGGUACCUCUAGCUGUUGUCAUUGAAAUAGCACUUUGUUCCUUGGAACACAAUUUAGCAAGGCCGAAAUCAGAGACCUUAGGAUUGAAGUUGUGAUCAAGCAAAAUAUUGUGAGGUUUGAUGUCGAAAUGGAGGAUACGUUGCUCACAACCUUGAUGCAGGUACUCGAUGCCUUUGGCUACACCGACAGCAAUAUCCUGAAGUUUUUCCCAACUAAGGGAUCGAUCCUUGCCCUUGGCUGCAAAUAUGAACUUCUCUAAUGACUCGUUUGGUAAGUAUUGUUAAAGCAAAUAGAAACUAACACAGAAAGAAAUAAAAGAUCAAGAAGAGAAUUAUUGUUUUUCAUUGCUUUCAAAAUUGAUACGUGCAUGCAUUUAUACAAGUGAAGUCUAACUGACGUAAGCAAAGUAACUGCUAUUUAACUAACACCAGCUUUUAACAAACUAGCUACUUUUUGCAUGCAGUUACAACUGCAUUACUCUUAACAUUCCCCUAGUCAGUCGAUUUCUGAUUUUUAAGUUCAUCAGGCGACAAGACCCUAAGAGCAUAUCGAAACGUAGAAAACAUCUUAGGAGUAAUUGGUUUAGUUAGAACAUCUGCAAUUUGUUGAUCAGAUGGCACAAAAUUGACUUGUAAGUGACCUGCAAGGAUUUUUUCCCUGACAAAAUGGUGAUCGAUUUCAACAUGCUUCAUUCUAGCAUGAUGCGUGGGAUUCUCAGCCACAGAGACUGCAGAGGAAUUGUCGCACCACACAACUGGCACUUUGGAUGGAAAAAUGCCUAUUUCAGCCAACAAUUGUUGAAGCCAUAAGAGCUCAGAAACGCAAUUUGCGAGACUACGAUAUUCUGCUUCAGCAGAAGAUCUUGACACAACUGGCUGCUUCUUUGAACACCAAGCAACAGGAUUUGAGCCUAAGAACACAACAUACCCGGAGGUUGACCGUCGAUCCUCAAUGGAUGAUGCCCAGUCUGCAUCAGAGUAGCAUACUAGUUUGAGUUGACUGGGUGUUAGAAACAAACCAUGAUCUAUGGUACCAGCUAGGUAUCUCAGAACCCGUUUUAGUGCUCUCCAAUGAGCUUCUCUUGGAGCAUUCAUGAACUGGCUGAGUUUAUUGACACUAAACGACAGAUCCGGCCGUGUUAUACACACAUAUUGUAGCAUCCCUACAACACUUCUGUACAAGUGAACAUCUACCAAUGGAGGACUAUCAACUGAAGCGGCUAACUUUGGAUUGCUUACCAUAGGUGUUGGUGUGGGGGUGGCCUCGACUAGCCCAGUUUUUUUAAGUAAGUCAACAAUAUACUUCUUCUGACUGAGUAGAAUUCCCUGUUUAGUGUGCUGAACAUCAAUUCCCAGAAAGAAAUUGAGCUCUCCCAUAUCCUUGAGAGCAAAUUUGCUAUGAAGGUGAAGUAUGACAUCUGCCAUUUCUUGAUCAGAACUACCUGUGAGAACAAUGUCAUCAACAUAGACCAUGAGCAGAAGUUUCUUUCCAUCAGAUUCACGAAUAAACAAGGAGGAGUCAGCCUUGGAUGCUUGAAAACCAAGCUGAUCAACAAGGUACUGUUUAAGAGUUUGGAACCAUGCACGGGGUGCUUGUCGCAGACCAUAGAGAGCUUUGUGCAACUUACAAACGAGCUUCUGACUCGAGGAAUCACAUACUUCAAAACCAGGGGGUUGCUCCAUGUACAACUCUUCAGUCAGUUCUCCAUUGAGAAAGGCAUUAUUAAUGUCAACUUGCCUUAACGACCACCCAUUUAUAACAGCAAGAGCAAGAACCGUGCAAAUAGUGGAGGCUCGAACCACCGGACUAAACGUGUCACGGAAAUCAAAUCCUGCAUGUUGAGAGAAGCCUUUUGCUACCAGCCGAGCUUUGUAUCUGUCCACUGAUCCAUCAGCCUUUUUUCUUUAUCUUAAACAGCCACUUGCAUCCGACUGCCUUCCGAUUACUUGGUAGUGAGCAGAGUGUCCAAGUGUUAUUACGAGUCAAUGCCUGUAAUUCAUCACGAACAGCUGUUUGCCAGUCUGGAGAUGUCAUUGCAGUGUGAAUAUCAGAAGGAACCUCUGCUGAAGAGCAUUGGACUGUACUCAUAAAAACCUUUGGUUUGAAAGUUCCAACUUUACUUCUGGUAACCAUGGGAUGUAUGUUGAGGGAAUUUGAAUGAGAAGCUUGUAAUGUUUGAGGUGUAGGUGACAUUGAUGAGGUGGCUGACGUAGGGGUGAUAGGUGUUAACGUAUGAGGUGAAAGUGAAUUCGGUGAAAUAGUGGGGUUAGGUUGUUAUUGUACAGCUUGAUGGUCAGACAAGGAAAGAGGUGAUGUAGGUGAGGGACUAGGUGGUGUAGGUUGAUUAUGAAAAGAAGUGGUGGUAGGUGGGGUAGCAUGAGAUAUUUGUUUGAGAGGUAGGACCAGAAGUUUUGCACUAGACUGAGACACUGGGUUAGACGAGACAAGUGAUGGAGAAAAAACUUUAUAUGGGAAAAUGUGCUCAUAAAAUGUGACAUGACGUGUUACAUAGAUUUUUCCAGUUGUGUCCUGGCAUUUGUAGCCUUUAUGCAAUGAUGAGUAACCUAGGAACACACAGGGUGAAGACCGAAACUGGAGUUUGACUUUGUUAAAUGAUCUAAGAUUUGGGAAGCACAGGCAACCAAAAAUUCGAAGGAAUGCAUAGUCUGGCUUUGUUUUAAAUAGCUUCUCAUAAGGUGAUAUAUUUCCCAAAGGCUGAGAGGGUAACCUGUUGAUCAGGAAGACUGCGCUGCAAAAAGCUUCAUUUCAAAAUUUUAAAGGCAUGGUAGCAUGAGCAAGCAUGGACAGACCUGUUUCAACCACCUGUCUGUGUUUGCGCUCAACAAGGCCAUUCUGUGCAGAAGUGUAUGGACAAGAGAGACGCUGGACAAUCCCUUGCUGAGCUAGAUAGGGCUUUAAUGCCUGAAACUCUCCACCCCUAUCCGUUUGUAAAACAUGUAGCUUUGCUCCAAGAACUCGUUCAGCUUGACGAUGGAACUGAGGAAAAACAGUAGCAACCUCUGACUUGCUCUUCAAGAAGUAAAGCCAUGUAUAACGAGAAUAGGCAUCAGUGAAGGCAACGUAGUAACAAAAACCAUUAGAGACAAUUGGAGCUGGCCCCCAAACAUCAGCAACGAUCAACUGUAAAGGAGAGCUGUAUGUUGUAGUUGACUUGGAAAAAAGGGAGUUUAUGCUCUUUACCCAUAUGACAAGCAACACACUCAACAAGCUUUUUAUUAUCAGUAAACUGAAUAUUACAAUGUGAAAGAGCUUUUGUAAGAAUAGCACGACAGGGGUGCCCUAGCCGAGAGUGCCAAACAUUUAAAGGGAGCAUUUUGCUAACUGUAAGACAUUGAGCAUGUUUUGAAGACAGUCCACUUUGAGGAAGUUUGUUGAGAUGAAGCCUGUACAAGCCAUGAUGCACAGAACCCUUCAGGAGAACCUCUCUAGUCUGUAAAUCACGGACCUGACACUGAGUGGGAAAAAACUCAAACAUCACCCUGUUAUCUUUAGCAAACUUUGACACAGAUAAAAGAUUUUUAGUAAUACUAGGCACAAGCAACAAGGAUCUCAUAUACAAUGGUCGAGAUCAAGUAAUUAGUGAUGACUGCCCUGUAGACAGAACAGGAAGAGCAGAACCAUUGCCAACAAACACUUUACCUGGUCCUUUGUGUGAGUCACUGUCACUAAGAGAAGUAAUUGAAUUUGUAAGAUGAUGUGUGGCACCUGAGUCUGGGUACCAGGAGUUAUCAGCCACUGUUUCAGGAGUAGCCACAUAAGCCUGAGAUUGUGCUACGCCAGAGGAAGGCAUGCUGACCUGUUGAAAUGGGCUACCAACACACGGGUUAGGCCAGGUAGAUGGAGAGGGAAUUGGAAAACACCAACCUGGUGGAAACCACUGCAUAUUUUGUUGAGGAGGUGAUGACCACGGUAUUGUAGUGGGACUGGAGUUGACCAUACAAACGUUUGCUUGAGGAUGAGGCCGAUAGUUACUACUUUUGUAAGUGGAGUCAAACCGAUGGUAGCAGCGGUCGACUAGAUGCCCAGGCUUUCCACAUAGCUGACAUUGAAUCUUUGAGCCAGAGAAACGCCCUCGACCACGGCCCCGAGAACUAGUUGAUGAUUUGUAAGCAGGUACGGAACUAUUGUCAACAAUAGUUGUUUCUGAAUUCUGAUGAGACACCAUGUUGGCUGAGCUAGAAACAUCAGAGAUCACAACCUGUUGCCGAUUUUCAGUAUCAAGAAGCAUGGACGUGACUCCUUGAACUGUGUAAGGAACUUGACUUGCUGCAACAAUAGAAAUUACAGAUUCAUAUUCAGUAGAAAGACCAUUCAAGAUUGCUGUAACAUGCUCGCGCUCACUGAUAACUUCACCAUAACUAGCCAAAGCAUCACAACAACUCUUAACCUUCAUCAAGAACUCUUUCAUACUCAAGUCACCUUUGCGUUGGGAGUGCAAAGAUCUUCGAUGAAACAUUAAUUUGGAGGUUGUUUGCGUACCAUAUAAAGCAAUAAUAGCAUCCCAGAUUUUAGCACUGGUGUCCAUACCAAUGAGAUGAGGAAGAACAGUUGGAUUAAUCGAAGAUAGCAACCACGAUGCAAGCGCACUGUCUUGCUGUUCAUACCGCUCAAAUUCUGGAUUUUCCCGAAGACCACCAUUGUCACCUGCAAUAAACUGGACAGGAGUUUGCUGUGAGUCCAAGAACCCUUGAAGCUUAUGCGCUUUUAGUGCCAAGAGAACCUGUUGCCUCCACAGCAAAUAGGUAUUAUCAUCAAGAAGAAUACUAAUCUUCUUUGUAGAAAAUAACCUAUUGUCGACUACACCAUCAGCCGCAGCACAAUCCAUGACAACAAAAACAAAAGAGUAGCACAGCGGAUAGACGAGAAAGCUGACCCAGGAGAAGCCUUAAUCUGAUACCAUGUUAAAGCAAAUAGAAACUAACACAGAAAGAAAUAAAAGAUCAAGAAGAGAAUUAUUGUUUUUCAUUGCUUUCAAAACUGAUACGUGCAUGCAUUUAUACAAGUGAAGUCUAACUGACGUAAGCAAAGUAACUGCUAUUUAACUAACACCAGCUUUUAACAAACUAGCUACUUUUUGCAUGCAGUUACAACUGCAUUACUCUUAACAAGUAUUCAUAAACGAGAGCUCGGUCAUAUCCAUCGGCACAAAACCCAACAAGGCGAGUCACAUUCACAUGGUGGAUUCUGCCCAUCGAACCCACCUCGUUGACAAACUCUUCACCAUUUCCCUUGAAAUUAUUGAGUACCUUGACAGCAACUAAAACAUCACUGGAAAGCCUGCCUUUGAAGACAGUUCCAUAGCCUCCUUGUCCCAGUUUGUCCUUGAAAUGAUUAGUUAUCCUUUUAAUAUCAGCAUAGGAGUAUCUUGAGGGUUUAAGCUCUUUAUAAUCUUCCAAAAACUUUUCAAUCUUGACUUGACUUUCUUUCUCCUUUUUGUCUAACCGAUAUCUCCACCCAACUGCAAUGGCAAUGGUUGCAGCAAUUGAAGAACCCAACACAAUACCUGCAAAUCAGCAUACAUCCCUGUGUUAUAUCCUGUCUAAAAUUAUUGAAGCUAAAAGGGAAAUUCCAUUUACCUGCAACCAUUAGCCUUUCUCCCAAACCUGCCAAACAUUUAAAAUUAUUCAGCUUUGAUACAUGGGAAAUCUAAGAAAAGGGCUCACUGUAAGUUUACAACAUUAAGCUUCACUUUGAUGCAGGCUAAUGAUUUUUUUUUAUAGUUAUAAUAGUUAAAACAUACCUAUAUGGUGUUUGGGGAUAUCAAAACACUCGGUUUGUUCCUUGGUGCUAUUAUUGUUGUUCAAUCUACAUCCCCUUCCUUGAGCUUCGCAAUCACCACAGUCUGGUUUAUACCAACGUAAUUGAAAACGGUUACCAUAAGGAGAAAUGGGCGUUGAGAAGUUGCGAAAGUAGCUGCAAUUCAACAGGUUCUCUGGAUAAAUAGGGUCAUAAGAAGCAAAAGCUAUAAUUUGGGAGCCAGGGGUGCUUAAGCAAUCGACUCUGUUUCCUUCAUACAAAGCCUUAUCUUGGCUUGAACAUUCAAACAAGGCAUAGUUGGAUUCAGUUGGCUGGGAUAUAUAAACUUUUAGGCGGCUGAAACCUUGUUGUUCCACCGCGAAUGGAAAGGCAGAAAAAUUGAGAUCUAAAAGCUGCCGCCAGAGGCAACCGCCGGGAAAGUCCAAGUUAAUCCGCUGAGCUUCAUAAUCUAUGUGCUUCACCAACAGCUCCAGCGAACGUGGUAUCUUCAGCAGGGUCUGUUUGUUUUCUGAGCAGGAAAGCUGAAACCCAGGAUGAGGAUAGCCGCAGUGGGGUGACUGCUGGCCUUCUAAACGGAAGGGGAAAUGGACAGGUGGAUCCUGGUGGUUGCACCGCCGCGCCUUGCAGUCGUCUUGGAUUGGCACUGCUUCUGCAACAUCCACAGCUAAGAUAAAGCAGAAUAACGAGUAAAUUAACAUUGUUCUUACUAACUUGUGAGCCCCUGAAGUGAAACGGGCUUUAAAUAAUUUCAUUGACAUAGGUGGUUCAGCCCUUGAGAGUUCCAAUUAUGCACGCAACGCAGCUGCUGCUUUACCAUAUAGCUUUGUCUCGUUUAACAGGGUCUUCAACUCUCCGUCCUCUCUUUGUUCUCUUUUCUGAGUAAAUGUUAGACAUGUUUGAUUGUUAGCAACCCUUUCUAACUUUGUUACUAAUUUUCUUUUAUUCCCGUUAGUUGUAGUAAAAUUUGAGGGAAAAACACUGAACAUGAGAAUGAAUACCGAUUUGCUGUUGUGAUCAUAGUGGGGUCAGCUUGACUGACUCUUGUUUUUCCACCUUCGUUGAAGUUUCCUCUUCCCUUUAUAGUUUUUACUACAUUUUGUUUGGUAUGACUAAGUAGUUGACUGACUUUUAUGGGUUCUUUUUAAUGUCUAUCGUUUUUUUUCUAAUGUAGGUGAUUUUUUUCUCACUUUUUUUUUCUAAUUUAUCUUUUAUUUUUGGAUUUUAAUUCGAAAUCGCAAAACUUGAACCAUCAUAUGUUUUUAAAUUUUAAAUCACUUAUUUUAGAUAGAACAAAUUUUUUAAAAGUGGAUACAAGACAAAAUGACAUAAUUUUUUUAAUAUGAGUAUGGAACAAUUAUAGUCAUUGCUUGUUCUACUCGUCCUAUCUCGAAAUAAUCUUUUACCUUUUUUGUAUAUAAUUAUUAAAAUGAUAAAAAUGUAAUAAUAUAUUAUAGGAAAAAAAUCAUAUGUUUUAUAUUUAUAUUUUUAAAAAAUUAUGUUUAAAUACUUACUCGUCCUAUCUCGAAAUUUCUUGUAGUUAUACUGUCUUUGAGAUGUUUUUAUUCGCGAUUUUGAACUAAUUUUCUAAAUACCUAGGGGAGAUGAACCUUAUGAUGAAUUUUGUCUUUUGAUUUCUGUUUUAUGCAAUGAAUAAUUGAAUCUUAUUCUCAAUUAUGUGUGCUUAAUCCUUGAUUUAAGAUUUUCGAAUUAUUAAUUCAUGUUUGAUGUGCUUAAUUAAGAGUAGAUCUAGCAUAAUUGAGUGGAGUUGCAUGUAAUCCUAGAAAUAGGACGACAUAAAUCUAACGAAUUAGGUAUUCAUAAACGAGAACUCAAUCAUAUCCAUCAGCACAAAACCCAACCAGGCGAGUCACAUUCACAUGGUGGAUUCUACCUAUCGAACCCACCUCAUUGAUGAACUCUUAAUAUUUAACUAAAGUUUGCUUUCUACUUUUUUUUUAUUUCCAUUUUUAAGAAAAUGUUAUUUUAUUAAUUCAAUUAUCUAAAUUAAUAUUAUUUUAUUUAAAUUAUAUUAAUCCUCAUUUAAUUAUUACAAGUAUAUUAUUUUAAAAUUAUAAAAAAUAUUAUUUAAUAAAUUAAACAAAUAAACAUUUAAAAUCACAUACAUUACAUUAAAAACUAAUAUAUCUAAAUAUAUAUUUUACCACUUAUUUUAAUCUUGUUAUUUUUAAUUUCAUCAAAAUUAUAUAUCACUCGAGCCACUGCGACUGCUGACUGGUGAUUAUUGAAAGGUUCUGAAUUAAUACAUCCAAGACUUUUAUGAGCAUCGCCAUUGACUGACCGACGACUUGAAUUAAAGAAUUUUCCACAUUAGCUUUGUUAGUGGACUGAUUUUUCAAAGAAGGACUUGCUCUCAAUUGCAGCCAUAAAAUAAAUGAAUGAUUGGCAUUUUACAUUAAAGAACAUCCCAUUGUUUAUUUCUUCAUCGGAGCUCCACCGGAACUUGAUGAUGUUAAGACCCAGACUUGUCUUGUUUAGCAUCUUUGCCCUUACUUUAUCCCCAGAUGUUUCCGAUGGUAGAGCAGGCAAAAGCAACCACUGCGGCCCAUCUUUGUGUGGACACGUUAAUAUCAGUCACCCUUUCCGACUAAAAGGUCAGCCUCGUCGAUGUGGUGACCGUAGGUUUGAAUUAGAGUGCAAGAGAAACCGCACCAGUUUUCCCAUGAAAUACGGAAACUUUUAUGUCCUAAACAUCUCUUAUGUUGACCGAACGCUUCGACUUGUGGAUGUGAGUCUGGUCGAUGAAAACUGCUCAAUUCCUCGCAGUUCCAUUGUCGAUUCUUCAGACAGCUAUCUAGAACACAUAAUAGCGAAUGGAGCAGACACCAUGUAUCUGGUAAAUUGCACGACAAGUAUGAAGUCUUCUUCAGUUUAUGUCGAUGCUUCUCGUUGCCCAACCAAUAGCUCUUCUUCUCCUUGGACCUACUUCUACUUUCCGGUCUCGUUUUCAAAUAUAUCCGAUUUCGAUCAUUCGUGCAGAUUUAUAGCCCAGUUUCCUGUCAUGCUUUCCAAUAUUAGUGGCUUAUCCCCUUCUUACAUUUACAAAAACCUGUUGGAAGGCGUCGAGGUGUCCUGGUAUCGUUUUUGGCCUUCAAACCCGAUUCUCAAAGUGUAAGAGACUUCGAUCUUUAGAUUCUUUCAAUCUAUAACUUUUCAAGGCCUUAUUUAUUGAUUGGUUGCUUUUUUUUUUCCUGGGGGGGGGGGUAUUCUAGCUUGCUACAGUUGCUACUUCCAAUUGCAGCAUACAUAGUAACCAUUGCGAACUUUCUUCAGCAGGGAAGCAUCAACUAUUAUACUCCUUAUCAUAAAGGUUAAUGUUUCAGAUUUCAUAAGUAUCUGUAUUUAUUGGAUUUGCCCUUGAAUUGCAUUCAAGUUAGUAAUACUAUUGUUGAAUUGGUGUUUUAAACAGCAUCCUUCUUAGUUUGUCUUGCAGUAUCAGGUAAAUCUCUUUCCCCGCCCCACUUUUUUAUGUUAUCUUUAUAAAAUAAUCAUGAAUGCUGAUUUAUCCUUGUGUAUGCCCCUUGAUGGGCAAGCAGCUGGCAUAUUGUUAGCGAGAACUUUGUUGGGGAUAUUCUGCCUCAUUACACUUGUUAUACACAAACUAAGGAGGAGGCAUUUAUCGAUGGAUGAUAAUAUUGAGAACUUUCUUAAAAGUCAAAAUAAUUUAAUACCAAUUCGAUAUUCGUAUUCUGAAAUAAAAAGAAUUACGGAAGGUUUUAAAGUUAAAUUAGGUCAAGGAGGUUAUGGUUCUGUGUUUAAAGGAAAGCUUCGCAGUGGUCGGCUAGUGGCAAUAAAAAUGUUGGAUAAAUUCAAAGCAAAUGGAGAAGAUUUCAUCAAUGAAGUUGCUACUAUUGGAAGGAUUCAUCAUAUUAAUGUAGUGCAACUUAUUGGAUUUUGUGUAGAGAGAUCAAAACAAGCUCUUGUAUAUGAUUUUAUGGUGAAUGGGUCUUUGGAUAAAAUUAUAUUUUCAAAGGAGAAUUGCACUUUAAGUUGGCAAAAAUUAUUUGAGGUUGCACUAGGUGUGGCUCGAGGGAUUGAAUACUUGCACAGGGGUUGUCAAAUGCAAAUUUUGCAUUUUGAUAUCAAGCCGCACAACAUUCUUUUGGACGAAAACUUUAUCCCUAAAGUUUCUGAUUUUGGUCUUGCAAAAUUAUAUUCAGUGGAUGAUAGUAUUAUUUCUCUCACAGCGGCUCGUGGUACAUUAGGAUACAUUGCUCCUGAAUUAUUUUACAGAAAUAUUGGAGGCAUCUCAUAUAAAGCCGAUAUUUAUAGUUUUGGAAUGUUAUUAAUGGAAAUGGUGGGAAGAAGAAAGAAUUUGAAUGCAUUUGAUGAUCAUUCUAGUCAAAUUUAUUUUCCGUCAUGGAUUUAUGAUCGAUUUGAACAAAGAGAGAACAUAGAAUUAGGGGAUGAAACAGAAGUUGAUGACAAAAUAGCAAGGAAGAUGAUAAUGGUUGCAUUUUGGUGCAUACAAAUGAAUCCCACUAAUCGUCCUUCAAUGAGCAAAGUUUUGGAAAUGCUCGAAAAUGAACUUGAUCACCUUGAAUUACCGUCCAGACCUUCACUAUUUUCUCUCGAAAAGUCAAUUGAAGAUCAUGUUAGUAAGAAUGUAUCGGAGGAACCAUCAACGUCAAAAAGUUGUGUGGACCUCUAAGUAUAAUGUUUGAUUUUAUUCGGGCCUUUUAUACAUAUAGUUCUGCAACUGUAAGCUUUUAAUUUGUAGCAUUUCAUGUUCAGUUGUAUAAUAUCCAGCAUCAUGUAAUACAACUAUUAAUGGAUGUGUGUUUUAGACUUUAGCUCCUUAGCUUCAUGUUUCAAUUAUUAAAAAUGUCUCCCAGUCACCAUAUAAUGAGUUAAUAUCAAAUUCGUUUACAAUUAUUUAGUAUAUAAGUGACUCUUAACAUUGGGUGAUCUCAUGAGAAAGUUUUUACUGAUCUCUUAUUGUAAUAUGUAAUCAUGAUAAUUAUGAGUGUGGUGUGGCGGUUGCUCACUUCAUUUUUAAAUCAUUUAGUCAAGAAUUUGAGUUCCGCUCAAAGAAAUGGAACACUUACCAACUAUGAAUACCUUAAUUUUGACAAUUAAACAACAUUUAAGAUAGAAUCUUAUCAUUUAUUAGUAGAAUUUAUAUACCAACAGCCAUGCAGCAUUUCAUUUAUGAGUUCAUAUAAAAUCUUAGCAUUGGUGUAAUAUGAGUGUGCUAAUAGACGAUUUCAAGUUUCAACUGAUUCUAGUACUACUAAUAAUGAGGCUCGAGCUUGUUCUUAUUCCAUUUCUGAAAUAGUGGCUAGAUCUCUGUUAACCGGCUUCCUAGGUAUGGUGGCACCCAUCGUCUUCGUUGGAUCCGUCGACGCAAAAGGAUUUGGUGGCAUUGUAAGAACGUCAAGCUCUCCCUCUAACAUCUGAACCACCACUUUCAUCGAAGGACGAUCAACGGGAUACCACUGAAUGCACCAAAGUCCAACAAUCAUGAGUUUCUUUGCUAUCCCUGUUUGUGCAUCAUCUUCAAUUCGAAUCCCGAACUCCCCUCCUUUAUCCAAACGAUCAUAUGCCCAUUCUGGGAAAUACACUUGGCUUGUGUUCUCGACCGUAACAUCUAUGUUCUUUCUCCCCCCAACCAUUUCAAGCAACAGCAUUCCAAAACUAUAAACAUCAGAUUUAUAUGACACAUUUCCAAAGUUGCGAGACAGUACCUCUGGUGCAAUAUAGCCCAUGGUACCUCUAGCUGUUGUCAUUGAAAUAGCACUUUGUUCCUUGGAACACAAUUUAGCAAGGCCGAAAUCAGAGAUCUUAGGAUUGAAGUUGUGAUCAAGCAAAAUAUUGUGAGGUUUGAUGUCAAAAUGGAGGAUACGUUGCUCGCAACCUUGAUGCAGGUACUCAAUGCCUUUGGCUACACCGACAGCAAUAUCCUGAAGUUUUUCCCAACUCAGGGAUCGAUCCUUGCCCUUGGCUGAAAAUAUGAACUUCUCUAAUGACUCGUUUGGUAGGUAUUCAUAAACGAGAGCUCUGUCAUAUCCAUCGGCACAAAACCCAACCAGGCGAGUCACAUUCACAUGGUGGAUUCUGCCCAUCGAACCCACCUCGUUGAUGAACUCUUCACCAUUUCCCUUGAAAUUAUUGAGCACCUUGACAGCAACUAAAACAUCACUGGAAAGUCUGCCUUUGAAGACAGUUCCAUAGCCUCCUUGUCCCAGUUUGUCCUUGAAAUGAUUAGUUAUCCUUUUAAUAUCAGCAUAGGAGUAUCUUGAGGGUUUAAGCUCUUUAUAAUCUUCCAAAAACUUUUCAAUCUUGACUUGGCUUUCUUUCUCCUUUUUGUCUAACCGAUAUCUCCACCCAACUGCAAUGGCAAUGGUUGCAGCAAUUGAAGAACCCAACACAAUACCUGCAAAUCAGCAUACAUCCCUCUGUUAUAUCCCGUCUUAAAUUAUUGAAGCUAAAAGGGAAAUUUCAUUUACCUGCAAUCAUUAGCCUUUCUCCCAAACCUGCCAAGCAUUUAAAAUUAUUCAGCUUUGAUACAUGGGAAAUCUAAGAAAAGGGCUCACUGUAAGUUUACAACAUUAAGCUUCACGUUGAUGCAGGCUAAUGAAUUUUUUAACGUACGUUGUACAAUUAUAAUAGUUAAAACAUACCUAUAUGGUGCUUGGGGAUAUAAAAACACUCGGUUUGUUCCUUGGUGCUAUUAUUGUUGGUCAAUCUACAUCCCCUUCCUUGAGCUUCGCAAUCACCACAGUCUGGUUUAUACCAACGUAACUGAAAACGGAUACCAUAAGGAGAAAUGGGUGUUGAGAAGUUGCGAAAGUAGCUGCAAUUCAACAGGUUGAGUCCAUAAUAAUUUUCAUCAGAAGCAAAAGCUAUAAUUUAGGAGCCAGGGGUGCUUAAGCAAGCGACUCUAUAUCUUUUAUACAAAGCCUUCUCUUGGCUUAAACAUUCGAACAAGGUAUAGUUGGAUUCAGCUGGUUGGGAUCUAUAAUCUUUUAGGCCGCUGAAACCUGGUUGUUCCUCCGCGAAUGGAAAGGCAGAUAAAUUGAGAUCUAAAAGCUGCUGCCAGAGGCAACGGCCGGGAACGUAGAAGUCAAUCCGUUGAGCUUCAUAAUCUAUGUGCUUCACCAAUAGCUUCAGCGAACGUGGUAUCUUCAGCAGGGUCUGUUUGUU
rnacentral:lncRNA from 1 species